UUUUUCGCUAAUCUGGGGUGCUAAAAACAUGGCGGAUUCCUCGAUAAAGACAUUUGUGUGCCAGGAAUGUGGAAAGACAUAUAAUUCCAGAAAAAGCCUUCUGCGUGGCUUUAUUUCCAGAAAGAGAAGAAAGAAAUCAUGGACCUUAUAACUGCGGCAAUCGGUCUUUCCCGGACAACGUUUCUGUGCGGAAGGAUUAAAAACUAUUCCAGACUGGUGGCCAUGACAGAUGUGGGUUGGAAAUCAUAAAGAGUGACUGAAUACUUUGAUAUGUUGGAAAGAAGUUCAUUGUUGAUGACAGUGUUUCUUUAUGAUUUAUUGACAUUAUUCAUCUUCAGAAAUACAGAACUCUCAAUGCUGUAAAUUUGUUGUGAUAUUCGCCGCUGAAUCUAUGUCCAAAUGUGCUUGUUUUACUACACAGCAAAGGAGAAAUUGUACCGGGCCGACACCAUAGAGUGGUAGCUGGUGAAUUUUUCAUCAAAUCAGUCAAAUUAAGUUUUUCACCUUAGGUAAAAUUUCACAGUUCACAGUCGGUAACAAGCUUUCAUUUGUCCUAACCAUUUGAAUUUAAACAUACAUACAACGGGAUUUUUCUUAUAGUAAGCAGUAUAAACAUGGAAAAACUUAAAUGAAGCGGGUUAAUGAAAUACAAAAGACUUCCAUUACCAAAUCAUUGAAUCACGCCCCCGUCUUAGCAUCAAGAAAAACGGACCCCUGCUUAGCAAUUUGAUAAAUCCGGCCCAGGAAGCUAUUGAAGGCUCUUAAUUUGUAAUUUUUUGAAGUGUAUAUGUCAAGACAAUACUCGUACAAAUAUCCGUGUCGCAAAGUAGUCUUUUACGGCCUUUUAAAGGAUUCAUCAGUUGAAUUUGUGAAAAUGUCCCCCGUCUUAACAUCAUCAAAUUUGUUCACUUC